GAUGAACGCUGGCGGCGUGCCUAAUACAUGCAAGUCGAGCGAACAGAUGAGGAGCUUGCUCCUCUGACGUUAGCGGCGGACGGGUGAGUAACACGUGGAUAACCUACCUAUAAGACUGGGAUAACUUCGGGAAACCGGAGCUAAUACCGGAUAAUAUAUUGAACCGCAUGGUUCAAUAGUGAAAGACGGUUUUGCUGUCACUUAUAGAUGGAUCCGCGCCGCAUUAGCUAGUUGGUAAGGUAACGGCUUACCAGGGCAACGAUGCGUAGCCGACCUGAGAGGGUGAUCGGCCACACUGGAACUGAGACACGGUCCAGACUCCUACGGGAGGCAGCAGUAGGGAAUCUUCCGCAAUGGGCGAAAGCCUGACGGAGCAACGCCGCGUGAGUGAUGAAGGUCUUCGGAUCGUAAAACUCUGUUAUUGGGGAAGAACAAAUGUGUAAGUAACUAUGCACGUCUUGACGGUACCUAAUCAGAAAGCCACGGCUAACUACGUG
rnacentral:rRNA from 1 species